UCCUCUAUGGUCUAGUGGUCAUGAUUUCCGCUUGUCAAAUUCGACAGAGUUAACAAGCGCGGGAGACCGGGGUUCGAUUCCCCGUGGGGGAG
rnacentral:tRNA from 1 species